rnacentral:rRNA from 1 species
CCUACGGGAGGCAGCAGUGAGGAAUAUUGGUCAAUGGGCGCGAGCCUGAACCAGCCAAGUCGCGUGAGGGAAGACGGUCCUAUGGAUUGUAAACCUCUUUUGUCGGGGAGCAAAAGACGCCACGCGUGGCGUUCCGAGAGUACCCGUAGAAAAAGCAUCGGCUAACUCCGUGCCAGCAGCCACGGUAAUACGGAGGAUGCGAGCGUUAUCCGGUUUUAUUGGGUUUAAAGGGUGCGCAGGCGGAAGAUCAAGUCAGCGGUAAAAUUGGGGGGCUCAACCUCUUCGAGCCGUUGAAACUGGGUGUCUUGAGUGAGCGAGAAGUAUGCGGAAUGCGUGGUGUAGCGGUGAAAUGCAUAGAUAUCACGCAGAACUCCGAUUGCGAAGGCAGCAUACCGGCGCUCAACUGACGCUCAUGCACGAAAGUGUGGGUAUCGAACAGGAUUAGAUACCCCUGUAGUC